rnacentral:rRNA from 1 species
UACGGAGGGGGCUAGCGUUGUUCGGAAUUACUGGGCGUAAAGCGCGCGUAGGCGGCUUUGUAAGUUAGAGGUGAAAGCCCAGGGCUUAACCCUGGAAUUGCCUUUAAGACUGCAUCGCUAGAAUCGUGGAGAGGUGAGUGGAAUUCCGAGUGUAGAGGUGAAAUUCGUAGAUAUUCGGAAGAACACCAGUGGCGAAGGCGACUCACUGGACACGUAUUGACGCUGAGGUGCGAAAGCGUGGGGAGCAAACAGGG